GGGCCGCUAGCUCAAUUGGCAGAGCAACUGACUCUUAAUCAGUAGGUUACAGGUUCGAUUCCUGUGCGGCUCA
rnacentral:tRNA from 1 species